AUAGGGCUUCUCCUUCGGGAGCAGAGUGACAGGUGGUGCAUGGUUGUCGUCAGCUCGUGUCGUGAGAUGUUGGGUUAAGUCCCGCAACGAGCGCAACCCUUGAUCUUAGUUGCCAUCAUUAAGUUGGGCACUCUAAGGUGACUGCCGGUGACAAACCGGAGGAAGGUGGGGAUGACGUCAAAUCAUCAUGCCCCUUAUGACCUGGGCUACACACGUGCUACAAUGGACGGUA
rnacentral:rRNA from 1 species